rnacentral:lncRNA from 1 species
CAAGCAAUCCUCCACCUCAGCCUUGCAAGCAGAUGGGACUAUAGGACAGUGGCAUACUAUCACAUCUAUCAAAGAAAAUGUGAAAAGUGCCUGAAAUGUGCUACUGAUCAACCAAUAGCAGUGAAAACUCACAUAUGGUACACAUUCCAUUUGGAUCACAAAAGCAAAGCCAAACAUCUCGGUAAGUGGGAGGAAGUAACUGAUGAACUGACUAAAGGAAAAACAGAGACUCUGGGCUUGGUCAUGUGACUUACUUCAGUCAAUGGGACAUUAGCAAGAAUAAUAAAGCAGGAGUUUGAUAAGAAUUUGUACAUUUUGGCUUAUCAUCUUAAAAUAUUCUUGGAAGCCAGAUGCAAUAAGAAGUCCAGCCACCCUAAGACCACUAUAUGUGAGGAAACCCAAGCUAGUCAUGUGGAAAAAACAUGUAAACAGAGGGAUGCCUGGCUAGUCUCCAGCUUAGUCAUGGGAGUGAAGAAGCCACUUUGGAUGUUCCAGCCUUGGAAGAUACUUCCUGGAACCGAAGAAACACCUUGCUGAGCCCAGCACAGACUGCAGAAUCAUGAGAAAUAAUAGUUGGUUUAAGCCACUACAUUUUGGAGUGGUUUGUUAUAUAACUAAAACAAGCAAUGAUAGAAAAGUCUAGCAAACCAAUUAGUUAUUUGUAAGAAGUAAAAAUGUUAUAGAAACCUAA